AGCGAACGCUGGCGGCAGGCCUAACACAUGCAAGUAGAACGGAUCCUUCGGGAUUAGUGGCGGACGGGUGAGUAACACGUGGGAACGUGCCCUUUGGUUCGGAACAACUCAGGGAAACUUGAGCUAAUACAGGCUGUGCCCUUAGGGGGAAAGAUUUAUCGCCAUUGGAGCGGCCCGCGUCUGAUUAGCUAGUUGGUGAGGUAAAGGCUCACCAAGGCGACGAUCAGUAGCUGGUCUGAGAGGAUGAUCAGCCACAUUGGGACUGAGACACGGCCCAAACUCCUACGGGAGGCAGCAGUGGGGAAUCUUGCGCAAUGGGCGAAAGCCUGACGCAGCCAUGCCGCGUGAAUGAUGAAGGUCUUAGGAUUGUAAAAUUCUUUCACCGGGGACGAUAAUGACGGUACCCGGAGAAGAAGCCCCGGCUAACUUCGUGCCAGCCGCCGCAGUAA
rnacentral:rRNA from 1 species